UACGAAGGGGGCGAGCGUUGUCCGGAAUUAUUGGGCGUAAAGAGCUCGUAGGCGGUUUGUUGCGUCGGCUGUGAAAUCCCGAGGCUCAACCUCGGGUCUGCAGUCGAUACGAGCAAACUAGAGUGUUGCAGGGGAGACUGGAAUUCCUGGUGUAGCGGUGAAAUGCGCAGAUAUCAGGAGGAACACCGGUGGCGAAGGCGGGUCUCUGGGCAACAACUGACGCUGAGGAGCGAAAGCGUGGGGAGCGAACAGG
rnacentral:rRNA from 1 species